rnacentral:sRNA from 1 species
GAAGCAGUGAGGACGGUUCCAGCGGCAA